ACCAGCGUGGUCCAGAGGUUAGGAUUUCUGGUUUUCAUUCAUCGACUGAAAAAUCCCAGACGGCCCGGGGUAAGCCUGACCUGAAUACCCAAACUCGAAGACAUAUUAACUAACGAACUCCCAGUUCGAAUCCCGGCGUUGGUA